AUCGAACGCUGGCGGCAGGCCUAACACAUGCAAGUCGAGCGGAGCGGCGGACGGGUGAGUAAUGCCUAGGAAUCUGCCUGGUAGUGGGGGAUAACGUCCGGAAACGGGCGCUAAUACCGCAUACUAUCAGAUGAGACUAGGUCGGAGUAGCUAGUUAGUGGGGUAAAGGCCUACAAAGGCGACGAUCCGUAACUGGUCUGAGAGGAUGACCAGUCACACUGGAACUGAGACACGGUCCAGACGCCUAUGGUAUGCAGCAGUGGGGAAGAUUGGAAAAUGGGCGAAAGCCUGAUCCAGCCAUGCCGCGUGUGUGAAGAAGGUCUUCGGAUUGUAAAGCACUUUAAGUUGGGAGGCGUUACCAACAGAAGAAGCACCGGCUAACUUCGUGCCAGCAGCCGCGGUAAUAC
rnacentral:rRNA from 1 species